AGUCCCCGGGCGGUGCCUGCCUGCCCGGCGGCAGGACUCGGUGUGACCCUGCGGACCCUCCCCCAGGGCCCUGCAUCCUGCCCACAGGCAUCAGCGCUCCUGCGUGCUGAGAAUCAGAGCUGUGUGGUGAUCCUCAGGACCGACUUGGGGAGACGCCACCCGUCUUCGGGACACCUGGGCCAUGUGAGGAAAGCCUUGAUGUCGAUUAUUGACCAUGCUUUGAGAAUUCUUCAAGGUUAUAAAACACAUUCUGGCCUGUGAAACUCUCCAAGUGGGACAAUGUCAUUGUCAUCAGCAGUCAUACAGGGCCCUCUGGUGGCAUAACGAGAAAAUGGCACGCGUGCUAAGAUUCCCUGUUUUGUGGGCGCCUUCUAGGGGAAGUCCUCGCUCGGGGACUGGAGCUGGGCUCCUGUGUGUGUAGGUUAUGCUCCUGAGCGAGCCAGAGGAUCAGGCAGGGCGCCAGCGUGAUGUGCCGCCUACCUCCUAGCGGGCGAUGAUGGCUGCUGCGAAUGGAAUCCUGCCUUAAAGACAAAUGCUUUGCCCAGUGGGUCCUUUUCUCUGUUCUUACCACCGUGCAGAGAUGAGUGAAAUCAGCCCUUGUCCUCAGGCUAGCCUCAGAGCCAGAGGGUCACACCUUAUGUUGAGACAAAGACCAGGGAUUACUGCCGCCAGAGAGACAGAAUGAGUGCACUGAAGGGGCCUGGAGGGGACACCGAGAACCAGAAAGAGACUGGAGUGGAGCCAGCUGUCUCACAAGAGUGAGAUCCCCGCAGGAGGCUUCCCUGAAGCACAGGAAAUUCAGGAAAUCCGAACCCCCUUGGAAAUCCCAGACCUGCAAGGUAACAACUGGUUAGAGAGGAAGGUAUUAAAGGAAAGAAUUCCACCAUGAGGCGAGGAGGAGGAGGGAAUUUCGGGGAGAAGGAAUGGCAGGAGCAGAUGUCAAGAGAGCAGAGGACAGAGGUUUGUGGAUCUCCUCUGUGGCCUCAGCAGAUGGAAUAGUGACAGAAGGGCUCUCAUAGGGACCCAGGGGACAGCAAAGGGCAUGAAAGGAGCCUUGUGUCUGUCCCAUAGGCUGCCAGCUUUAAACAGCUAUCCUUGGAUGUGGUGGAUUUAGUGUAUUCAUGGCUGUUUUCAAAGUGACAAAGGCUGGGUCGCACCAUUUGGGGACCAAGUGGGUUCACAGUCCAUCUUGUCUUUAGGGACUUGUUGCCUGCUCGCUGGGUGCCAGCAGAUUCUCCCUGACCUGACUCAUUCAGCCGGGGCAGUUCCAGGCUCAGGUUCCUCCCUCUGGGUGGCACCUGGAUUUCUCAGGGUCUGGAGUGAAGCCCCACAAGUCUAUGAACAGGCUCUCCUGGGGUGAUGCUCAGGGGCUUUGGCUCCUCCAUCCUCUUGGGCCAUACAGAAGUAGCUCAUGUUAUUUUUCAAAUGCAAAAACCUGUGAGCACCCUUUGAAUCCCAUUCAAAGGCUAGUGAAUUAUGUUUCAAUGUAUCUCCUUUCAGUGAUCUAGGUACGUUCUCAAAAUUCAGCCCACAGUUCCCUCAUAUCUGCCCUUUAAAUAUGAAACAAAUAUGUGAUGUGGUUUCUUAGUAUGGAAGGACAUCACUCGCAAGAGUGUCCUCAUUGGUUAUUCUGUCUCAGAAUAGAUUAUUAACUUCGAAUAGUGUUCCCUUGAUUUAGGUGGUUUGGUUUCCUUUUAGUGUAGAAGUAGUAAAGGAAUGGAAUUCCCCCCCCCCCUUAAAUCUUUAACCUAAAAUAAAACUUUAAAACUUAUUAUUUCUUGUUUGAAGAAUUCACUAUCUCUCAAUUGUAGCAAAAUGACUCAAAAGCAAGCAUGAAUACCAUAUUUCAUCAAAUCUAUCUCUUCAGCAAUCGUAAGAACAUUAUUUUAUCUAAGAACAUUAUUUUAAGUUUAUUUAAGACCAUUAUUUUCUUUGAAAAACAAACUUGAUUUUAGAAGAGUUUAGGAGAGUUUCGGGUUUACAGAAGCCAGUAUAUUUUAGUCGUUGAAGUUGUUAUUGUACGUUUAUUGGCCAACCUCUUGUAGACUUUGGAUGUGGACUUGGAAAUCUAUUUCCCUCUUCUGUAUAUAUGAAAGAUAAAAUAUAAGCAAACUAAAUG